CCUACGGGUGGCAGCAGUGGGGAAUAUUGGACAAUGGGCGAAAGCCUGAUCCAGCCAUGCCGCGUGUGUGAAGAAGGCCUUCGGGUUGUAAAGCACUUUCAGUGGGGAAGAAAGCCUUGGGGCUAAUACCCUCGAGGAAGGACAUCACCCACAGAAGAAGCACCGGCUAACUCCGUGCCAGCAGCCGCGGUAAUACGGAGGGUGCGAGCGUUAAUCGGAAUUACUGGGCGUAAAGCGCGCGUAGGCGGUCUGAUAAGCCGGUUGUGAAAGCCCCGGGCUCAACCUGGGAACGGCAUCCGGAACUGUCAGGCUAGAGUGCAGGAGAGGAAGGUAGAAUUCCCGGUGUAGCGGUGAAAUGCGUAGAGAUCGGGAGGAAUACCGGUGGCGAAGGCGGCCUUCUGGACUGACACUGACGCUGAGGUGCGAAAGCGUGGGUAGCAAACAGGAUUAGAUACCCCGGUAGUC
rnacentral:rRNA from 1 species